rnacentral:rRNA from 1 species
GACGAACCGUCCAAACGUUAUUCGGAAUCACUGGGCUUAAAGGGUGCGUAGGCGGCUCAGAAAGUAGGGUGUGAAAGCCCUCGGCUCAACCGAGGAAUUGCGCCCUAAACUACUGGGCUUGAGGAACGCAGAGGUAAGCGGAACUUACGGUGGAGCGGUGAAAUGCGUUGAUAUCGUAAGGAACACCAGGAGCGAAAGCGGCUUACUGGGCGUUUUCUGACGCUGAGGCACGAAAGCCAGGGGAGCGAACGGG